rnacentral:rRNA from 1 species
AUUGAACGCUGGCGGCAUGCCUUACACAUGCAAGUCGAACGGUAACAGGUCUUCGGAUGCUGACGAGUGGCGAACGGGUGAGUAAUACAUCGGAACGUGCCUAGUAGUGGGGGAUAACUACUCGAAAGAGUGGCUAAUACCGCAUGAGAUCUACGGAUGACAGCAGGGGAUAGCAAGGCCUUGUGCUACUAGAGCGGCCGAUGGCAGAUUAGGUAGUGGGUGGGAAAAAAGCUUACCAAGCCGACGAUCUGUAGCUGGUCUGAGAGGACGAUCAGCCACACUGGGACUGAGACACGGCCAAGACUCCUACGGGAGGGAGCAGUGGGGAAUUUUGGACAAUGGGCGCAAGCCUGAUCCAGCAAUGCCGCGUGCAGGAUGAAGGCCUUCGGGUUGUAAACUGCUUUUGUACGGAACGAAAAGCCCUGGGUUAAUACCCUGGGGUCAUGACGGUACCGUAAGAAUAAGCACCGGCUAACUACGUGCCAGCCGCCGCCGUAA